rnacentral:rRNA from 1 species
AUUGAACGCUGGCGGCAGGCUUAACACAUGCAAGUCGAGCGAGCGGCGGACGGGUGAGUAAUGUCUGGGAAACUGCCUGAUGGAGGGGGAUAACUACUGGAAACGGUAGCUAAUACCGCAUACCAUCAGAUGUGCCCAGAUGGGAUUAGCUAGUAGUCGGGGUAAUGGCUCACGUAGGGGACGAUCCCUAGCUGGUCCGAGAGGAUGACGAGCCACACUGGAACGGCGACACGGUCCAGACUCCGACGGGAGGCAGCAGUGGGGAAUAUUGCACAAUGGGCGCAAGCCGGAUGCAGCCAUGCCGCGUGUGUGAAGAAGGCCUUCGGGUGGUAAAGCACUUUCAGCGAGGAGGCGUUACUCGCAGAAGAAGCACCGGCUAACUCCGUGCCAGCAGCCGCGGUAAUAC